UCGGGAAUUUUGGGCAAUGGGCGAAAGCCUGACCCAGCAACGCCGCGUGAAGGAUGAAGUAUUUCGGUAUGUAAACUUCGAAAGAAUAGGAAGAAUAAAUGACGGUACUAUUUAUAAGGUCCGGCUAACUACGUGCCAGCAGCCGCGGUAAUACGUAGGGACCAAGCGUUGUUCGGAUUUACUGGGCGUAAAGGGCGCGUAGGCGGCAAUUCAAGUCAUCUGUGAAAUCCCCGGGCUCAACCUGGGAACUGCAUUUGUGACUGCAAGGCUAGAGUACGGUAGAGGGGGAUGGAAUUCCGCGUGUAGCAGUGAAAUGCGUAGAUAUGCGGAGGAACACCGAUGGCGAAGGCAAUCCCCUGGACCUGUACUGACGCUCAUGCACGAAAGCGUGGGGAGCAAACAGGAUUAGAUACCCACGUAGUCCCUGAGCGGGCUGGCAAGGCGCAU
rnacentral:rRNA from 1 species